rnacentral:lncRNA from 1 species
AAUUUAAAUUAUUCUAUAUAUUUUCGUAUUCUCCAGUAGGAGAAUAUACUCUGUUACUUUGGUCUUUAAUUAUCUCAAAUUUUAAAGUGACCAUGACUAGCUAUAAUGUGGUAAUAGCAGGUUCGGUGGCUAUUUUUUAAUUGGUAACUUUUUUUUUCUAUUUUGCAGUGCUUGGACCUGAACCUAGGACCUCACGCAUGCUAGUGGAUGAGAGUUCUGAAGAUGACUCUUUAACCAGGUUUUCUGACAAACCUGAUCCUGAUGAUUCCUGGCCUACGUCAGAGGAGGAUGACUAUAAUUUUGAUAACAAGUCAACAAAAUUGCCUCACAAAAUUGCCCAAGCUAGGCUGGAACCUGGAGUCCUUGGGCCUCACCUCCAGAGUGCUAGGAUUAAUGUGGCGCCACAUCUGACUGCACUGUGUUUUCUCAGUCAUUCUUCCAUUAGAAAAAUGAAAGUAUUAGAAAACAAUAAAAACAAUGAGUGUGAAGCUGAGAUUGAGAAGUCUCAUUUACAAGGCAAGGUAAGAUUUCAUAAUAAGACUGAGUAAGAGUCAGAAUCAGAUAUUAUAAAAACAAGGGUUAAAUGACAGUCGAAUCUCUAUUAUAGGUUAGAAAUUACAUACUUUUAAAUUACCUGUAAUUGAUUUUAAAGAACUGAAAAUGUGAUCUUUAUUUUUGCUAAAUUCAGUGAAGUGAUAUCUCCUAUUUAAUCCUGUGAAUCUUAUAUUGGGAGAUUAUAGAAAACAUUAUCUUCUAUUUAAUCCUGCAAAUCUUAUAUUCAGAGAUUAUAAUAUAGAGAACAUUGUCAGUGACCCCUGCAGUGGGUCUCUGUCUCCUGUGAGACAAAUACAUUGCCUGCAAGAUAGGAAAGAGAUAGAGAACAAAAGACACAGACCCAGAGGCUUGAGAGAAGAAGCUUGGGCUGAUGUAAGCUGCCCUGGGCAGCAAAGACCCAAGGCAUCAGGGCCAUCCAGGGUUUAUUCCUUACACGUGUGGGAAGGAGGGGACCUGGGCAGGGCUCAGGACACCUGCUGGUAACAGGUAUGGCAGGCAGGGGCGCUAGCAUAUCUUACUGAAGAGAACAAAUGGUUAACUCAGGGAGGAAGAAUUUAGUUGGAGUCACUUGACCUUGGCUGCAAGUGAACUCAUCCAAGCCCUGCUACUUGAUGGAGUUAAGCGUUGGUAGCAGCUAUUAUUAGCAAAGGAGCAAUACCAGCCCCAACUGUGCUAUCUGACAUGCCCAUUUGAGUCACGUAAGGCUUCAGUCAGACUCCUAAGAUAUUACAGCCGAAUUAUAGAGGGGCAAGAAGCUUAUGCCACGUAUAGCCUGCUAAUACUGGGCAGAAUUAUCUGCUACAGUAAAUAAUGCAAAAUGAAAUCCAUUUGAAACCUUACUAAACUUAUUAUGAAUUAUUAAUAUUUGAGCUUUCAUUUUUAUGGUUUCUAGUUUAACUUAGUGCUUGGUGUAUCUUUAUUUAACAUAUUACUGUUGAUGUAUAAUCUUGGCAAAUGCUUUAGAUCUUCUUGAGAAUAAAGACAAAAUAAAUAA